rnacentral:rRNA from 1 species
CCUACGGGUGACAGCAGUGAGGAAUAUUGGGCAAUGGACGAGAGUCUGAACCAGCCAAGUAGCGUGAAGGAUGACUGCCCUAUGGGUUGUAAGCUUCUUUUAUAAAGAAAUAAAACGAGGCACGUGUGCCUUUUUGCAUGUACUCUAUGAAUAAGGAUAGGCUAACUCCGUGCCAGCAGCAGCGGUAAUACGGAGGAUCCGCGCGUUAUCCGGAUUUAUUGGGUUUAAAGGGAGCGUAGAUGGGUUGUUAAGUCAGUUGUGAAAGUUUGCGGCUCAACCGUAAAAUUGCAAUUGAUACUGGCAGUCUUGAGUACAGUUGAGGUAAGCGGAAUUCGUGGUGUAGCGGUGAAAUGCUUAGAUAUCACGAAGAACCCCGAUUGCGAAGGCAGCUUACUAAACUGUGACUGACAUUGAUGCUCGAAAGUGUGGGUAGCAAACAGGAUUAGAUACCCUUGUAGUC